rnacentral:RNase_P_RNA from 1 species
UGAGUUGAUCGGAUGGUUGCUAGCUAUAGCUAGAGGAAAGUCCGGACUUCGAAGAGUAAAGUGCCAGGUAACUCCUGGGAGGCGUGAGCCUACGGCAAGUGCAACAGAAAAUAUACCGCCAAGUAAUUGGUAAGGGUGAAAUGGUGGGGUAAGAGCCCACCGCAAGUUUGGUAACAAACUUGGCAUUGUAAACCCCACUUCGAAGCAAAACCAAAUAGGAAUCCAAUUAGGUUACUCGCUUAGGGUUCGGGUAGGUUGCUUGAGUAAUGUGGUGACAUAUUACCUAGAUAGAUGACCAUUUAACACAGAAUCCGGCUUAUAGAUCAACUCAUAUG